rnacentral:tRNA from 1 species
GGGGGCAUAGUACAAUGGUAGUACACCGCCUUUGCACGGUGGUGAUCUGAGUUCGAUUCUCAGUGCCUCCA